rnacentral:misc_RNA from 1 species
CACGUAGGGUGCAAGCGUUGUCCGGAAUUACUGGGCGUAAAGAGUUCGCAGGCGGUUUGUCGCGUCGUUUGUGAAAACCAGCAGCUCAACUGCUGGCUUGCAGGCGAUACGGGCAGACUUGAGUACUGCAGGGGAGACUGGAAUUCCUGGUGUAGCGGUGAAAUGCGCAGAUAUCAGGAGGAACACCGGUGGCGAAGGCGGGUCUCUGGGCAGUAACUGACGCUGAGGAACGAAAGCGUGGGUAGCGAACAGG